CAAGUAUGCUUCUGACCAACCCAAUUAGUUAUAGUUUGAUUAGAUCGAUUAACAACUACAUAUUAUCAAUCAACUUAAGACUUAAUAUGGCUCAGUGGUUUGAGUCAGGGUCAAUAGGCUAACCUGAUCGAUUCUAAUCAACCAAUUUGGUAUCUAAGGUAAGUACUUAGAUGAUGAUUUUUUAAUUGAUUUUGUUGUCUGAUCUGGAUAAUUUAUUGGC
rnacentral:lncRNA from 1 species